GACGAACGCUGGCGGCGUGCUUAACACAUGCAAGUCGAACGGAAAGGCCCUGCUUUUGUGGGGUGCUCGAGUGGCGAACGGGUGAGUAACACGUGAGUAACCUGCCCUUGACUUUGGGAUAACUUCAGGAAACUGGGGCUAAUACCGGAUAGGAGCUCCUGCUGCAUGGUGGGGGUUGGAAAGUUUCGGCGGUUGGGGAUGGACUCGCGGCUUAUCAGCUUGUUGGUGGGGUAGUGGCUUACCAAGGCUUUGACGGGUAGCCGGCCUGAGAGGGUGACCGGCCACAUUGGGACUGAGAUACAGCCCAGACUCCUACGGGAGGCAGCAGUGGGGAAUAUUGCACAAUGGGCGGAAGCCUGAUGCAGCAACGCCGCGUGCGGGAUGACGGCCUUCGGGUUGUAAACCGCUUUCGCCUGUGACGAAGCGUGAGUGACGGUAAUGGGUAAAGAAGCACCGGCUAACUACG
rnacentral:rRNA from 1 species